UUGGAGGGCAAGUCUGGUGCCAGCAGCCGCGGUAAUUCCAGCUCCAAUAGCGUAUAUUAAAGUUGUUGCAGUUAAAAAGCUCGUAGUUGAACUUCAGGCCUGUCCAGAUGGUCCGCCUUAAUUGGUGUGUACUGUCCUUGGGUGGGUCCUACCUUCUGGCGAAGCGACAUGGCCUUAAUUGGUUGUGUCGGGGAACCAGAACUUUUACUGUGAAAAAAUUAGAGUGUUCAAAGCAGGCAUAUAUGCUCGAAUACAUUAGCAUGGAAUAAUGGAAUAGGACGAUGGUUCUAUUUUGUUGGUUCUAGGACCGUUGUAAUGAUUAAUAGGGAUAGUUGGGGGCAUUAGUAUUCAAUUGUCAGAGGUGAAAUUCUUGGAUUUAUUGAAGACUAACUACUGCGAAAGCAUUUGCCAAGGAUGUUUUCAUUAAUCAAGAACGAAAGUUAGGGGAUCGAAGACGAUCAGAUACCGUCGUAGUCUUAACCAUAAACUAUGCCGACUAGGAAUCGGGCGAUGUUGACAAAAUGACUCGCUCGGCACCUCAUGGGAAACCAAAGUGUUUGGGUUC
rnacentral:rRNA from 1 species